rnacentral:rRNA from 1 species
ACCUAGUCUUCGAUGGAUAGGGUUCUGAGAGGAAGGUCCCCCACAUUGGAACUGAGACACGGUCCAAACUCCUACGGGAGGCAGCAGUGAGGAAUAUUGGUCAAUGGGCGAGAGCCUGAACCAGCCAAGUAGCGUGAAGGAUGACUGCCCUAUGGGUUGUAAACUUCUUUUAUAAAGGAAUAAAGUCGGGUAUGGAUACCCGUCUGCAUGUACUUUAUGAAUAAGGAUCGGCUAACUCCGUGCCAGCAGCCGCGGUAAUACGGAGGAUCCGAGCGUUAUCCGGAUUUAUUGGGUUUAAAGGGAGCGUAGAUGGAUGUUUAAGUCAGUUGUGAAAGUUUGCGGCUCAACCGUAAAAUUGCAGUUGAUACUGGAUAUCUUGAGUGCAGUUGAGGCAGGCGGAAUUCGUGGUGUAGCGGUGAAAUGCUUAGAUAUCACGAAGAACUCCGAUUGCGAAGGCAGCCUGCUAAGCUGCAACUGACAUUGAGGCUCGAAAGUGUGGGUAUCAAACAGGAUUAGAUACCCUGGUAGUCCACACGGUAAACGAUGAAUACUCGCUGUUUGCGAUAUACUGCAAGCGGCCAAGCGAAAGCGUUAAGUAUUCCACCUGGGGAGUACGCCGGCAACGGUGAAACUCAAAGGAAUUGACGGGGGCCCGCACAAGCGGAGGAACAUGUGGUUUAAUUCGAUGAUACGCGAGGAACCUUACCCGGGCUUAAAUUGCAGAUGAAUUACGGUGAAAGCCGUAAGCCGCAAGGCAUCUGUGAAGGUGCUGCAUGGUUGUCGUCAGCUCGUGCCGUGAGGUGUCGGCUUUAGUGCCAUAACGAGCGCAACCCUUGUUGUCAGUUACUAACAGGAUUUGCUGAGGACUCUGACAAGACUGCCAUCG